UCUCCGUUGGUGAACCAGCGGAGGGAUCAUUGCUGGAAGCGUCUCACGGCGCACCCAGAAACCCUAUGUGAACCUAUACCACUCUGUUGCCUCGGCGGGUUCUGCCUCCCAUCUCGGGAGCAGGCUCAAGCCCGCCGGUGGCCCAACUAAACUCUUGUAUUAUUUGUUAUCUGAGAGUUAUUUUUAAAAUAAGUCAAAACUUUCAACAACGGAUCUCUUGGUUCUGGCAUCGAUGAAGAACGCAGC
rnacentral:misc_RNA from 1 species